rnacentral:rRNA from 1 species
CCAGGAUUAGAUACCCUAUUAUUCUUAAACCAAACAAACCUAAAGAAGUACUCGUUAUAUGCUUGAAACCUAAAGGAUUUGGCGGUGUUUUACCUGACCAGAGGAACCCGUUCUAUAAACGUCAUUACGCGAAACAUCUUACCCUAAGAAGGCCCAUAUACCGUCAUUUUAAUCACGUCAAAAAACAACAUUAUCCCAGGCUACUAAUAAAUUAGAUUAAGGUGUGGCAUCUUAAGGCACGAAUAGGUUACAUUUUAAAAACAAGUAGAAUCUUUAUGAAAAAUAGAAGAAAACGGAUUUGUUAGUAAUUU